rnacentral:rRNA from 1 species
GAUGAACGCUGGCGGCGUGCCUAAUACAUGCAAGUCGAGCGAACGGACGAGAAGCUUGCUUUUCUGAUGUUAGCGGCGGACGGGUGAGUAACACGUGGAUAACCUACCUAUAAGACUGGGAUAACUUCGGGAAACCGGAGCUAAUACCGGAUAAUAUUUUGAACCGCAUGGUUCAAAAGUGAAAGACGGUCUUGCUGUCACUUAUAGAUGGAUCCGCGCUGCAUUAGCUAGUUGGUAAGGUGACGGCUUACCAAGGCAACGAUGCAUAGCCGACCUGAGAGGGUGAUCGGCCACACUGGAACUGAGACACGGUCCAGACUCCUACGGGAGGCAGCAGUAGGGAAUCUUCCGCAAUGGGCGAAAGCCUGACGGAGCAACGCCGCGUGAGUGAUGAAGGUCUUCGGAUCGUAAAACUCUGUUAUUAGGGAAGAACAUAUGUGUAAGUAACUGUGCACAUCUUGACGGUACCUAAUCAGAAAGCCACGGCUAACUACGUGCCAGCAGCCGCGGUAAUACGUAGGUGGCAAGCGUUAUCCGGAAUUAUUGGGCGUAAAGCGCGCGUAGGCGGUUUUUUAAGUCUGAUGUGAAAGCCCACGGCUCAACCGUGGAGGGUCAUUGGAAACUGGAAAACUUGAGUGCAGAAGAGGAAAGUGGAAUUCCAUGUGUAGCGGUGAAAUGCGCAGAGAUGUGGAGGAACACCAGUGGCGAAGGCGACUUUCUGGUCUGUAACUGACGCUGAUGUGCGAAAGCGUGGGGAUCAAACAGGAUUAGAUACCCUGGUAGUCCACGCCGUAAACGAUGAGUGCUAAGUGUUAGGGGGUUUCCGCCCCUUAGUGCUGCAGCUAACGCAUUAAGCACUCCGCCUGGGGAGUACGACCGCAAGGUUGAAACUCAAAGGAAUUGACGGGGGCCCGCACAAGCGGUGGAGCAUGUGGUUUAAUUCGAAGCAACGCGAAGAACCUUACCAAAUCUUGACAUCCUUUGACAACUCUAGAGAUAGAGCCUUCCCCUUCGGGGGACAAAGUGACAGGUGGUGCAUGGUUGUCGUCAGCUCGUGCCGUGAGAUGUUGGGUUAAGUCCCGCAACGAGCGCAACCCUUAAGCUUAGUUGCCAUCAUUAAGUUGGGCACUCUAAGUUGACUGCCGGUGACAAACCGGAGGAAGGUGGGGAUGACGUCAAAUCAUCAUGCCCCUUAUGAUUUGGGCUACACACGUGCUACAAUGGACAAUACAAAGGGCAGCGAAACCGCGAGGUCAAGCAAAUCCCAUAAAGUUGUUCUCAGUUCGGAUUGUAGUCUGCAACUCGACUACAUGAAGCUGGAAUCGCUAGUAAUCGUAGAUCAGCAUGCUACGGUGAAUACGUUCCCGGGUCU